rnacentral:ncRNA from 1 species
AGCGACGCCGCGUGAGGGAUGACGGCCUUCGGGUUGUAAACCUCUUUCAGCAGGGAAGUAGCGAAAGUGACGGUACCUGCAGAAGAAGCGCCGGCUAACUACGUGCCAGCAGCCGCGGUAAUACGUAGGGCGCGAGCGUUGUCCGGAAUUAUUGGGCGUAAAGAGCUCGUAGGCGGCUUGUCACGUCGGUUGUGAAAGCCCGGGGCUUAACCCCGGGUCUGCAGUCGAUACGGGCAGGCUAGAGUUCGGUAGGGGAGAUCGGAAUUCCUGGUGUAGCGGUGAAAUGCGCAGAUAAUCAGGAGGAACACCGGUGGCGAAGGCGGAUCUCUGGGCCGAUACUGACGCUGAGGAGC